UUUUCCGUAGUGUAGUGGUCAUCACGUUUGCCUCACACACAAAAGGUCCCCAGUUCGAAACUGGGCGGAAACA
rnacentral:tRNA from 1 species